UGGAACAAAAGAUCUCUUGAGCAGUCUCUCCUGGGCAGAUUCACUGUGUAUAGGCAGCUUGAAGCAAAUUUUAAAUGUUGUUUAUGAUAAUGAUUAUAAAUGAUAUUUAUAAUGUUAAUUUAGUCUAGUUUGCUAAGCAGCUAAGGCAAACAUUGGAUGAAUUUAGAAAUACAUUAUGAUAACUGUAAUUAAAGCAAUUUAUUAAAACAUAAAAUACAGUGGAAUUUUAAACUGUAACAAAAUUUAAGCUGUCACCAUAUACUAAAUGGCAUAUGUCAUGCCAAUGCUGGAAUCCACCAGGAACUCCACUUCCCAGAACACAAUGUGGCCUACAAACAUGGCCGCCACAGACUACAAUCCCAAAUGCCUCACACCACCAGCACAUUCCCAUUCAUACGAAUACUAAUCAGGCACACCUGUUUCUUAUUACACCCUCACCCUGUAUAUAUAUGUACAUGUACGAUUAUGUGAAUUACCAAGCCUUUUUUAUGUUAUUCUGGGGUUUUUUUUCAAUCUUGCCUUGCUUCCUGUUUUUUGUAUUUUGGAUCUUGCCCUUGAAUUGUUGUUUGCUGAUCUUCUGACAUCUUGCCUGUUCCUGUUUACGAGUUUGCUUCACAUUUUGGAUUUGUUUGCCAGUUUUAAUGAAAUUCUAACUGCAGUUGCAGCUGUCUCCAACUCCAUUGCAUGACAUCAUAUGAAGAAGUCCCCAUCGACCUUAUGCAAGCCCUGGACCUGGAGAGUCAUGAAAGGCGGGGCCUGGCUAUGAGAUUUGCCUUCCAAGAACAGACAUUCCAAAUCAAAGUCCUAUCCUUCAACCUCUUUGAGGUAUGCAGAUGGCCCUGUUUCCUCUGUUGGCUAGAGGAAGUAUACUGCUGAAGAAUACUGCUGAAUUUGGAUGAAUGGCUCAUACAUACCCCCAACAAGGGGCAGGCCAUUUGGGAUGCUCACACCCUCAAUUUACAGCACUCAGUCUCAGUGACCCAUAGGGUAUGGAAGGGUACCUUCAAUAGGCUCUAGAUGCACGGCGACCCUGACCAGGAUAAAGUUGUUACUGAAGAUGAAUGAAUGAACGAAUGAAAAGCUAGAAGGUUUGCCCCAGAAUUGUACUUUACAGGU